rnacentral:rRNA from 1 species
GAUGAACGCUGGCGGCGUGCCUAAUACAUGCAAGUCGAGCGAACAGACGAGGAGCUUGCUCCUUUGACGUUAGCGGCGGACGGGUGAGUAACACGUGGGUAACCUACCUAUAAGACUGGGAUAACUUCGGGAAACCGGAGCUAAUACCGGAUAAUAUUUCGAACCGCAUGGUUCGAUAGUGAAAGAUGGCUUUGCUAUCACUUAUAGCUGGACCUGCGCCGUAUUAGCUAGUUGGUAAGGUAACGGCUUACCAAGGCAACGAUACGUAGCCGACCUGAGAGGGUGAUCGGCCACACUGGAACUGAGACACGGUCCAGACUCCUACGGGAGGCAGCAGUAGGGAAUCUUCCGCAAUGGGCGAAAGCCUGACGGAGCAACGCCGCGUGAGUGAUGAAGGUCUUCUGAUCGUAAAGCGCUGUUAUUAGGGAAGAACAAACGUGUAAGUAACUGUGCACUUCUUGACGGUACCUAAUCAGAAAGCCACGGCUAACUACGUG